UAGAGUUUGAUCCUGGCUCAGGACGAACGCUGGCGGCGUGCCUAAUACAUGCAAGUCGAACGAACUCUGGUAUUGACUGGUGCUUGCAUCAUGAUUUACAUUUGUGUGAGUGGCGAACUGGUGAGUAACACGUGGGAAACCUGCCCAGAAGCGGGGGAUAACACCUGGAAACAGAUGCUAAUACCGCAUAACAACUUGGACCGCAUGGUCCGAGCUUGAAAGAUGGCUUCGGCUAUCACUUUUGGAUGGUCCCGCGGCGUAUUAGCUAGAUGGUGGGGUAACGGCUCACCAUGGCAAUGAUACGUAGCCGACCUGAGAGGGUAAUCGGCCACAUUGGGACUGAGACACGGCCCAAACUCCUACGGGAGGCAGCAGUAGGGAAUCUUCCACAAUGGACGAAAGUCUGAUGGAGCAACGCCGCGUGAGUGAAGAAGGGUUUCGGCUCGUAAAACUCUGUUGUUAAAGAAGAACAUAUCUGAGAGUAACUGUUCAGGUAUUGACGGUAUUUAACCAGAAAGCCACGGCUAACUACGUGCCAGCAGCCGCGGUAAUACGUAGGUGGCAAGCGUUGUCCGGAUUUAUUGGGCGUAAAGCGAGCGCAGGCGGUUUUUUAAGUCUGAUGUGAAAGCCUUCGGCUCAACCGAAGAAGUGCAUCGGAAACUGGGAAACUUGAGUGCAGAAGAGGACAGUGGAACUCCAUGUGUAGCGGUGAAAUGCGUAGAUAUAUGGAAGAACACCAGUGGCGAAGGCGGCUGUCUGGUCUGUAACUGACGCUGAGGCUCGAAAGUAUGGGUAGCAAACAGGAUUAGAUACCCUGGUAGUCCAUACCGUAAACGAUGAAUGCUAAGUGUUGGAGGGUUUCCGCCCUUCAGUGCUGCAGCUAACGCAUUAAGCAUUCCGC
rnacentral:rRNA from 1 species